CCGAGCGUACGCAAAAUAAAUAAAAAAAAAACAGACGGCCGCCAUUAACAGUUUCCUUUACAGACAAUUUCGACGUGGAAAACGCCGUAGAGUUGCGACGUAACCCGCCGCCACUGAUUACGCAUCGUGAAUAUUUAGGACAACAAUUUGUAGCAAUAAGACGUCGGGCACCCGGGACAGUAUUAAAUUACAAUUAGACGUUAAUUGACGAGUGUGUUUACGUAAAAUCGGGCACGCGAUGCGACAUUUUUAUUGGGGCAACGAGAUUUCGUCCGAAAUAUUCGUCGCCAAUUUACAGGCGUCUAUGUACACCCAAGUUCAACGUACACCCUCGGAAUCUCGGCGCUGAGGAUCCGCGCAAGCGCCAUUUGGAUGUCUAGAUGUUUUGGCGAAGCAAAUUAAUUCGGAACUAGAAGUAACCAAGUGGUUUGCCUGGAGAGUUCGUUACAUUUGAAUGUUGGGUAGUGCUAAGAAGGGGUAUGGAUUUACUGUACACGAUAUACCACAGAUACCCUUCUAAAUAGGUGGCCUUGCGCCAUUAUGGGAACAUUAGAAUAGAAACCUAUGAACAACUGAGAAGGAAAAUACUUAGUUUUUUUUAAUUUUUGGUGUUAAAAUCAACUUGUUUUUAUUAUUUUUGGACACGAACGGGACAAAAAACGCUAUUUUAAUAAAAAUACCACAGAAAAAACGGAUUCAUCUAAGUGAAAAAAUUACAAAAAGAUGCGAAUAAGAAGGCAAAGACACCACAAACAUCAAAAGAAUGAGAGAAUUCAAUAGCUGCUUGGCUGAAAAAAGCUACUUUCCUCAAAGAAUGGCAAUGACAAUAUUAGUUAUUCUUUAAGAGUUUAGUUCAAGAUAUAGAUCUUACUCUAUUUUAAAGAUACUUUAGGUUAGGUUGUUCGAUAUUUUUGCUAUAUUAUAAACCUACAA